rnacentral:rRNA from 1 species
GACGAACGCUGGCGGCGUGCUUAACACAUGCAAGUCGAACGGAAAGGCCUGCUUUCCCUUGUGGAUUGCGGGUACUCGAGUGGCGAACGGGUGAGUAACACGUGAGUGAUCUGCCCCCAACUUGGGUAUAAGCCUGGGAAACUGGGUCUAAUUCCCGAUAGGACUGCAGGGUGGUGCCUGUGGUGGAAAACGAUUUUCUAGUGGUUGGGGAUGAGCUCGCGGCCUAUCAGCUUGUUGGUGGGGUAAUGGCCUACCAAGGCGGCGACGGGUAGCCGGCCUGGGAGGGUGGACGGCCACAGUGGGACUGAGAUCCGGCCCAGACUCCUACGGGAGGCAGCAGUGGGGAAUAUUGCACAAUGGGCGGAAGCCUGAUGCAGCGACGCCGCGUGGGGGAUGCCGGCCUUCGGGUUGUAAACUCCUUUCGACCGCGAGGAAGCCACCUGGUUGGAAGGGUGGUGACGGUAGUGGUAGAAGAAGCACCGGCUAACUACGUG